GACAGAGGGUGCAAACGUUGUUCGGAAUUACUGGGCGUAAAGCGCGUGUAGGCGGCCCUGCAAGUCGGGUGUGAAAUCCCACGGCUCAACCGUGGAAGUGCAUUCGAAACUGCAGGGCUAGAGUCCUGGAGAGGAAGGUGGAAUGCUUGGUGUAGAGGUGAAAUUCGUAGAUAUCAAGCGGAACACCGGUGGCGAAGGCGGCCUUCUGGACAGUGACUGACGCUGAGGAGCGAAAGCGUGGGGAGCGAACAGG
rnacentral:rRNA from 1 species